GCUCUUGGCAGUUGAGAUUCAGACCUUGACAGUUGUAACCGAUAGACUGGGCUGGGGCAACGCUGAUGAAAGGCAAAUUCCUGAGAGAAAAAUCACCCAGAUUUUUCAGUGCCUUCUCUAGCUUUCUAGAAGUUGUUAUGAGUGGACCUGACUACCUAGAGAGAGUAAUACAGAAGCUCCGUGCCGAUCACAGCUACCUCAUUACCAUGUUCCUCCAAGAUGGCCGCCCCUGAGGAGAAUCAUCAACUGGGCUUUACGGAAGAGAGAAAUCCAAACGACCAUCAGCAACAAAUGAAAGACUGAAGUUGAAAGGCAAGUCUUCAGAUUUGAAUUUCAAGAUUGUCAAGAAUGACGAGUUGGACUUGGUCUAGUUACUUCCACAGCAGCAGGAGGAACAUGUGUGUGACUCAGGAUAACUGGGGAAGCCUUGGCUAGGCUUUCCUCAUGUCAACCUACCACUCAAAGGGAGAAAACCUCCUGAUCAGAGGAAAUCCAUAAUUUUUGAAUGCUGGCCGAGGUCUGUGACCUCUGACUGAAUGGUUUCCAAGCUCCGAAUUCCUAGGUGAUGUUUUCAUUUGUUCACACUUGCUGAAGAAGGGAAAGGCUCUCUGAUUUACGUGUAAGCAAAACAAUCUAAACAGUAGGAUAAAAUCAUGUUGGAAUGGAGUUCUGUGUGGAUGCUCCUUUGAACCAAAUCAGUUCCACAACUGACCCUGUCAGGGACAUAUAAAUUUAGCAUUUUGGUGUGGAUACAGAAGACGAGAUUAACACAGAUCAAGUAACAUGGAAAUAAAAAAGGAGACAAUGCUGGAUGAUACAGGGGCAGCCAACAAGAGGAGAAAACCCAAGCAUUGGCAAAUGCCUCAUUAUCCAAAGAACACUGAGGUGUGGAGCAAAACUGUGUUGAAUGAACUGUAGAUGGAAAUUCUCUCCUUCCCACCGAGGAGCCGCUGCAGGUUGCAGACUCCCAGAAUGCCACACUGAGAAGAGGAGGGCUAAAAUUCUAGAGCAGAAUCCCUGGGGCAGCCCCUGCUGAAGAAGGGUGCAUCUGUUGAGAAUCUCAUCACCGCCCCCACCCCGCCCAGCCUUCAAUUUAGAGGAAUUUCUAGUUCACGCAGAAUGAAGACAAGAUCACAUAAGGGCCUCAGAGUAUGUCAGCUGGGGUCAGACGGGAACAGGAGUCUGGCUCAACACACAUUUAUUGCACUCCUGUUUCAUGCCAAGAAAUGUACCAAAAUCUGGGACUGUGUAACACAGCAAAGGAAAAGACUCAUCUCCAGGAAGCCCCCUUGUCUAGGAAGAGAAAUUGAAUAUCAGCAUAAGGUGGUGAAAAGCUGUGAAGGAGAUGAGUGCCAGGAGUCCAUGGAGGAAGGAUUCUAGCCUGGACAGGUGAGGAAUGGCUUUCUGGAAGAAGCAGAUGCCCCAGCUGAACUUUAAAAUGCCCAUGUGAAAUGAACUGUCUGUAUCUUCAAUCAGCAAAUGGAGUAGGUGGCCACUGUUUAAUUCUGGAAUGGGGAAGUGUAAAGGUGUGGUGUGUGUGUUUACCCCUACUUAGGGAUUCAAAACAGACAGUAAAGAACAAAAGUCUAGCCCUUUGAGCAUUCUCCAUGGGACAUUUGAGGUCUAGCUGGCCCCAGAGAAAGAGAGACAGAAGCAAGGUCAUAUCCAUUUGAGAAAAUCAAAGUGUCUGCUCCAAUUGAGUCUGGUGUCCUUAUUCCUGGAAUAGCCAUCCCUACUGCUCUGGUGCUGAUUUACCUCCGGCAGUUCAGUGCUUCCUGGAAGGUAGGCUGGGCUUUUUAACAAAGUGACUCCUUACUUGACAUGUUUUACCCAAACACAGAGGCCACUGCACUAUGUGCAAGAAACAACAAAAAAUUAAAUGAGACUCAAUGCCUUCCUUAGGGAUCUAAAACCCCAGUAACACAGAUAAACAGGUAAACAAAUAA
ensembl:lncRNA LINC01206 long intergenic non-protein coding RNA 1206